UACGUAGGGGGCGAGCGUUAUCCGGAAUUACUGGGCGUAAAGCGCACGCAGGCGGUUCGCCAAGUUUGGAGUGACAGUUGUCGGCUCAACCGACAAAGGACUUCAAAAACUGGUGAACUUGAGGACGAGAGAGGAACAUGGAACUCCAGGUGUAGUAGUGAAAUGCGUAGAUAUCUGGAAGAACACCAAUGGCGAAGGCAAUGUUCUGGCUCGUUUCUGAACGGCUCAGGUGCGAAAGCCAGGGGAGCGAACGGG
rnacentral:rRNA from 1 species